ensembl:snRNA U6 U6 spliceosomal RNA
UUUUGGCCAUUCAAAAACGGGCUUUCAUUGGAACAAUACAGAGAUUAGCAUGGCCCCUGUACAAGGAUGACAAAUGCAUGAAGCGUUCUAUAUUUUU